rnacentral:rRNA from 1 species
UACGUAGGGGGCUAGCGUUGUCCGGAAUCAUUGGGCGUAAAGCGCGUGUAGGCGGCCCGGUAAGUCCGCUGUGAAAGUCGGGGGCUCAACCCUCGGAUGCCGGUGGAUACUGUCGGGCUCGAGUACGGAAGAGGCGAGUGGAAUUCCUGGUGUAGCGGUGAAAUGCGCAGAUAUCAGGAAGAACACCCGUGGCUAAGGCGGCUCUCUAGUACGGUACUGACGCUGAGACGCGAAAGCGUGGGGAGCGAACAGG